GACGAACGCUGGCGGCGUGCCUAACACAUGCAAGUCAGGGAGAAAGAGGUAGCAAUAUCUCGAGUAAACCGGCGAACGGGUGAGUAACACGUAGGUAACCUGCCCUCGAGUUGGGAAUAACUUCGAGAAAUCGAGGCUAAUACCGGAUAAUGCAACGAACCCGCAUGGGUUUGUUGUUAAAGUUCCGCGCAAGCGGAACGCUUGAGGAUGGACCUGCGGCCGAUUAGCUAGUUGGCGGAGAACAGCCCACCAAGGCGACGAUCGGUAGCCGACCUGAGAGGGUGACCGGCCACACUGGGACUGAGAUACGGCCCAGACUCCUACGGGAGGCAGCAGUGAGGAAUAUUGGUCAAUGGCCGAAAGCCUGACGCAGCGACGCCGUGU
rnacentral:rRNA from 1 species